AAGAAGCUUGCUUCUUUGCUGACGAGUGGCGGACGGGGGAGUAAUGUCUGGGAAACUGCCUGAUGGAGGGGGAUAACUACUGGAAACGGUAGCUAAUACCGCAUAACGUCGCAAGACCAAAGAGGGGGACCUUCGGGCCUCUUGCCAUCGGAUGUGCCCAGAUGGGAUUAGCUAGUAGGUGGGGUAACGGCUCACCUAGGCGACGAUCCCUAGCUGGUCUGAGAGGAUGACCAGCCACACUGGAACUGAGACACGGUCCAGACUCCUACGGGAGGCAGCAGUGGGGAAUAUUGCACAAUGGGCGCAAGCCUGAUGCAGCCAUGCCGCGUGUAUGAAGAAGGCCUUCGGGUUGUAAAGUACUUUCAGCGGGGAGGAAG
rnacentral:rRNA from 1 species